rnacentral:rRNA from 1 species
UACGUAGGGUGCGAGCGUUGUCCGGAAUUAUUGGGCGUAAAGAGCUCGUAGGCGGUUUGUCGCGUCUGCCGUGAAAGUCCGGGGCUCAACUCCGGAUCUGCGGUGGGUACGGGCAGACUAGAGUGAUGUAGGGGAGGCUGGAAUUCCUGGUGUAGCGGUGAAAUGCGCAGAUAUCAGGAGGAACACCGAUGGCGAAGGCAGGUCUCUGGGCAUUAACUGACGCUGAGGAGCGAAAGCAUGGGGAGCGAACAGG